rnacentral:misc_RNA from 1 species
AGGUUUUGCUCCUGCUGAAUCAAAAAAAGCGCUGACAUCUGUAGAGAAAGCUGUCUCUGAAGAUCAAGAGAUGGCAGCUGGUAAUGAUGGCACAUUGGCUAUUAAGGAAGAGUUAAAUGAUAAAAGCUCAAAGCAAUCUUCCAUGUGAGGUUACUCACCCUUAUCUCAUAGUAUGCAUUAUUAAAUAGUGCUUUCAACUGCCAGUAUUUGUAUUACCAUGAAAUAUUACCAGCUAUGUUUUUAUAUGCAAUAUAUAUUGUAGGUUGUCUGCCAUUUCAGUUUAGAUUUGUUUAUUUGUUUAGAUCAAUAUGUGUGUGAACACAGAUGGUUGUCAUAUAUAUUUGAUUUUAUUGGAUUUAAUAUUUUGCAGAUCAAGAUAUGCAUCCAUUAGUUUGGAUCAAUUUUCGAGGUUUAUGAAAGACAUGAAAGCUCUUUUAGUUGAGAAGGUCUAUGUUGUAAAUGUUCUAGGUAUUUUUUCACCCUUAGAGUUUAUACAAUACCAUCCCUAUUAUUUUUUCUAGGAUGAUGAAAUAAAAGUUUUGCAAUUAAAUUAUGCUCCAAACUGUUUAUGCCUCUGCUACUUCUAUUUAGUUUAUGUCCUUCAUAAUUAAAUUACAGUCAUUUAGUUUCUGGAUUUACUCCCUAGUAGUUUCUUACAGAAUGCCUGGGAUGUGAAAAUGUCCCUAAGCAUGCUGCUGUUGCUUUGCAUCUAUGUACCAAGUACCAACUUCCUGAACUGAAUUUGGCCUUCUUUUUCUUAGGUUACAUAGCAUACAAUUUUGUCAUCGGUGCAUACUCAUAUUGGGGCCCUAAGGCUGGUUAUAAUAUCUAUAACAUGACCAAUGCAGAUUUGAUAUUUGGAGGUAUUACAAUAGUUUGUGGAAUAUUUGGCACGAUAGCAGGGGGUUUUAUCCUGGAUCGCAUGACUUCCACAAUCCCCAAUGCUUUUAAGCUUCUUUCAGUGGCUACAUUUCUUGGAGCAAUAUUUUGCUUCUCUGCCUUCUGUUUUAAAAGUAUGUAUGUUUUCCUUGCUCUUUUCGCAAUUGGCGAGCUUCUUGUCUUUGCAACUCAGGUACUUUCAUUUCUUAAGCAGAAAUGACCUCUUCUUAAUUGCCUGCUCCAUUCAGUGCUCAAAUACAAGCUAUUAUAUUCUUAAUGCUUAUCAAUUAUCGUUUGAUGUAUUUAUCACAAUAUAACAAACGAUGUUUGUUUGUGUAGGGCCCUGUAAAUUACAUAUGUCUCCAUUGUGUCAAACCAAGUAUGAGACCGUUAUCUAUGGCUAUUUCUACUGUUUCAAUUCACUUAUUUGGAGAUGUGCCUUCCUCCCCCCUUGUUGGGGUCCUCCAGGUUUGCCUUCAUUGCUUCAAUGGCCAGGCCUUUGCCACUAGUGAAACUGUUGUUGUUUGCUAAUGAAAGACUAAGAUACACCCAUAGGAUUUGCAAGAAUUUUGAAGAAAGAAGCAUAACCCAUUUUCUUUCUUAGAAGCCUAUGCAAGGACAAUUGAAUUCAAAUGCAGAAACAUGACUAUGAGAUUGCUAAUGAAGAAAGCACUUGUAUCUUCUUAGCAGCCUGUACAAAUAAACUAGAUAUAAAAGCAUGCCAGACUGAUUUUGUGAUUAUUUUUGAAAAUAUCACUUGUCUACAUUAUAUUACCUUAACAUUGAAAACUAAGAUGUUAAGUAGUCAAUAUUUUGCUUGCAAAUCACUCAACUUUGGAGAUAUCCUGCAGGACUAUAUCAACAAUUGGAGGGAGACUGCUCUUAUUCUGACAGCCAUUUUGUUUAUAGCAGCUGGGAUAUGGUUUAUAGGUAAUUGAUUUUUAAUGGCUAUUUCCUAUUAGUUUCAUCAAAUAAGCUAUUAGGUCAACACUUUGUGGACACAGAAUUGAAUUUUAGUCCUGGGCAGUGAUACUCAUUUAGCAUGUAUGAAUGGGAAUUCCAUGAUCAUUCAUCUGCCCAACAUAUAGGUAGUUGGUCACUGCAAAAAUGGUUUAGGAAUGAAUCUCCUUUUUGUUUGAUUUCUUAGAGGAAAGAAGCAAAUGUUUGUUCUCCCUGAGGGGACUGUCCCAUGGUUAAAUUUGAGAUUCUGGCUUUGGAGAUCUAAGUUUAUGUGAAGUUAUGACUGAAAGGAUUUAACUUCAGGGCUACCCACUUGGUAUGUAGUCCAACCAUUCCCGCACGCACAUGUCGCGGAGGGACAGAUUCACUACCCAAAUCAAGCCCCAACAUCUUGCGGCACUUGUGUCCACCACACAAGUCAGCCCACAAAGGCGAAGUGAGGAGAGCAGCCCAUGUGGGGCGCAUGAAGUGGACCAGCCCACUUGGGACCAAACACAUGGCGUCAAGGUUUCCCUCCCUUGCCCAUUUGAAGUGCUACGGCUGGUUUGAGGUGUCAAGUGCAGCCGGCUCCUGUUGUCCAUCAAUCCCUUCCCUUGAGCAAAACCGGCUCCCGCGACACACACACCGGAAGAGAGAUACUAUUUCAGUGAUCUACAUUGCAGUUAAAUUGGUUGAUAACGAGAUAAUUGAUCUAAUAUCAACAUAUCUACUUAGAUGUGUUCUAGGAUUAAUUGCAAAAUACCAUACAAUUGUACAGAUUUUCAUCGGCAUACUGAUAGUUAUGUAAUUUAUGUGUGCUUGGCAGGGAUUUUCAUGCGCAGUGUAGAUAGGUUUAAUGAAGAAAGUGGGCAUCCAACAAUUUUAACCGACAGGACAAACAUGACACCUUUACUUGAAGGUGAAGGCAAGACAGCAGGAGCAACAGAAACUUCUGCAGAGCCAUGAAUCCUUACCAGAAGUAGUUUUUUCCCCCUGCAAGCCCUUACAAGAAUUGUAAAGCUUUUUUCUUCUUUUCUUUUUAUUUUAUUUUAUUU